AUACGGAGGGGGUUAGCGUUGUUCGGAAUUACUGGGCGUAAAGAGUUCGUAGGCGGACUGAUAAGUAAGAGGUGAAAUCCCAGGGCUCAACCCUGGAACUGCCUUUUAAACUGUCAGUCUAGAGACCGGAAGAGGUUAGGGGAAUACCUAGUGUAGAGGUGAAAUUCGUAGAUAUUAGGUGGAACACCAGUGGCGAAGGCGCCUAACUGGUCCGGUACUGACGCUGAGGAACGAAAGCGUGGGGAGCAAACAGGAUUAGAUACCCUAGUAGUCC
rnacentral:rRNA from 1 species